rnacentral:rRNA from 1 species
UACGAAGGGGCUAGCGUUGCUCGGAAUUACUGGGCGUAAAGGGCGCGUAGGCGGACAGUUUAGUCAGAGGUGAAAGCCCAGGGCUCAACCUUGGAAUUGCCUUUGAUACUGGCUGUCUUGAGUUCGAGAGAGGUGGGUGGAAUUCCUAGUGUAGAGGUGAAAUUCGUAGAUAUUAGGAAGAACACCGGUGGCGAAGGCGGCCCACUGGCUCGAUACUGACGCUGAGGUGCGAAAGCGUGGGAGCAAACAGG